AGAAACUUUCUGGAUUCACCAUAUCGGCGUCAUUAUCUCGUAAUCGCAAUUAAUUAUCAUAAUUUGCAUUGUCACUAAUGGCAAAUGCAGCAAAAGAAUGAACUUUAUGGGCAUUUCAUCGAUUUCAAUGACCUUGAAAUAUGAUCUUACGGACAGAGUACGAAAGUAACAUUGCGUACAUUAAACUUUAAUCAUUAAGGUUAUCGUGUAGUAUCAAUUUCGAAGAUACGCGCACAUGAAUUAGUUAUUAAUUUGACGAAUACUGCAGAGACCGAAUCAUCGCGGGAAAUGGGUUCCAGAGAAUUGAAUCUUGAUUUAUAUAUAUUUUUAGAUACACAUAAAAUACAAUGGAAACGCAGUAUAAACGGAUAAUAAAAACGUACAGAAAUAUAGAUAUAUAGAUUUAGUGUAUAAAUAAAUCUAGUAUAUAUGUAUACUUCAAGAAAACGCAAUCGCUGAACUUGAGGUCUGCAAAUGUAUCGUUGGUCUUACAGCCUAUUCAGAAUAACUAAGAGUUCUAUGGUAUGGUGAUAUAGAUAUCUAUUAGAUCACUGAAUAAUUCUUAAAUAGGAUUAAUAGGAAUUUUGACAUAUUUAUAAUUGACACGUUUUCGUUACACAGUAAAAGAACUAAAUUACCGAAUGUCGCAUAUGCAAGAAUGUAUUUUACAGAGCAUAGUUUAGCCACCACAUUGAAACUUGUCGUUGAAUAUAACUGUAAUCUUAGAUUCAAUAACAUUUAAUAUUUGUUGCAUCAUUGACCUUAUAAUGAACCAUUAGGCAACAUACAUUAAAUCUCAUCUGUGAUUAACAAUAAACCGGCAUACAUAAUUGUACUGUCAAGCGUAAGUUACAUAUGUAUACAAUUAUUAGGAAUGUUCUUCAAAUAUAUCAUAAUGUUCGGAAAA